GCUCAGCCAGCUUUUGCCGGACCAACUUACCUUCACUUCUGGUUCAUUCGCCUCUACAAGCUCCACCCCAUGGAUCCAUACCAGAUUGGGCACUUGUGAAAGUAAUACGAGUAAUUGGACGUGCUAUGCACUUAGAAAGAGGAAAGCUCUGCGAACAGAACUUCAAACAGAAGGCAAAUUAUGUUCAGCCAGAACCCAACCACCCCAGAGCAGUCUGUGGGACGUGAAGAGGAUGAACCCCUAGUCUAUCUGAGAGACUCCUAUGAAACUCAAAUGGAGACGUUCUGUGUUCAUAG